rnacentral:misc_RNA from 1 species
CUAUUUCUUCUUCUAUUCUUCGUCUUUCUUUUUCAUCUUCUUCGAUUCUUUUAUUCUUUUAUUUUACUUCUUCAAUUAUUUUUCUCAAAGCUGACUGAAGCCAAGAAGAAUUGCUAAACAAUAGAAGAACUAAAGCUCGAGCUCUAGUGCAGCGAAGCCCAAGGAUUUGAGGCGUGCACCACCCUUCCUAGCUUACUUCUCAUCUUGCGUCGCAUCCCACCAUCGCCCUCCUUGCCACACCUUGCGUUCACCUUCCCAGAUGCUCUCACGAUGCUUUUGUGCUCUUGCAUUCACUUGAAAGUGAAUACAUUUUC